rnacentral:rRNA from 1 species
UACGUAGGGUGCGAGCGUUAAUCGGAAUUACUGGGCGUAAAGUGUGCGCAGGCGGCCGCGCAAGUCGAGUGUGAAAGCCCCGGGCUUAACUUGGGAAUUGCGCUCGAAACUACGUGGCUAGAGUGUGGCAGAGGGAGGUGGAAUUCCACGUGUAGCGGUGAAAUGCGUAGAGAUGUGGAGGAACACCGAUGGCGAAGGCAGCCCCCUGGGUCAAGAUUGACGCUCAUGCACGAAAGCGUGGGGAGCAAACAGG